CAAUGUGACGGACGAGGACAAGGAUGGGGACCGCUGUGGUGACGCUUCCCUCUGCAAAGUGGGGACAGGAUGAUGUCGAAGUGAAACCCUCACCAUGUAGUCCAGCAGUGAACCGCAACACCUUUCUACUCGUCCCAAGGAACUUGCAGAGACACAAAGGCUGUGUGAAAGAGGAGUAAGAGGAUGAGGAUGCUCUGCACCUUCACCAUGUUGUCCCUGUGGUUGGGAAAGAGAACAGCUGGAGCUCAGACUCUGCGGUGAACUGGGCUCAAUCUGCAGAUUCCAGUGAAAUUGGGGCCUUACCCCUGUGGAGGAGAAGGAGGUGAACAGGAAAGAAGACCGCCGAAGAGUAAAGGAGCAGGACGGGCUCUCUGACUUGUUCAGGACGACCUGCUCUGUCCCCAGGCGCACACACCCAGAGCAGCAGGCCCA